UUCAUUUUCUCUCUCCCGUGGCUCGACGCCAUGGCAAGGAACAGAGGAAUUUUGAUGGCAACACAAAUUCACCCCUAUUUUCCACAGUUGCUAUAUAUAACCUUUAAUUAAUUUAACGCACCCCGUAAAAAAUCAAAAAUACCUUUUUAUUUUUUUUGAAUCUCCCGCAACCUGAAUCUCUCUCUGAAACUGAAACACUCUCAAGCUCCCCAUACUUUUUGUUUCCUCGGUUCGUGGAUUAAUAGCACAAGAAAAUUGAAGAACCAGAAAGAAAGAAAGAGGCGUUCAACACCAAUCGUGCUCAUCAAGAAUCAAUCUCAUCAGGGUUUCAGUCACAAAAUCAAUCUCAUCAAGAAUCUCCGCUACAAGAUGGCAGCAGAAUUUCAAGUAAACCGAAGCUUCUUAUCUUUAAGUAAUAUAUGAAGAGAGGGGAGGUAAUGCUUUUGUUUUGGUUGAAUUUGGAUUGUGUUCUCUGUUUCCGUUUAUACACUUAUACUGCAGUCUGCAUAAAUAAGAAACAAAUUGGUGAUGUCACAAACUAUUUUCAAGUGCUUUUUUGGUUACUUGUCUAAUGAGGCAAAACAUUGGUAACUUUGUUCUUCAUUUUCUUUUAAAUUUUACCAUGUAUUCCUGUAUGUUUACUAUGAUUAGCACUAUUAUGAUUGAUGUAUGUACAACAUAUUAAUGGUUCA